rnacentral:lncRNA from 1 species
CUCGGAAUUGCCUCUCCCGGGCUUGGCGCGCAUGCGCGAGGGCUGGAGGGGAGGCUGUCUGAGGUGUCAGCAUCAUGGCGGAUUCCAGGACGGGCGUGCGCGGUUCCCUGCUGGAGCUGCAGGAGUUCCUGUCCACAGCGGACCGCUGCAGCGCCGCCACGGCCAGUUAUCAGCUGAUUCGCGGCCUGGGCCAGGAGUGCGUGCUGAGCACCAGCUCUGCCGUGCUGGCAUUACAGAGUUCCUUAGUUUUUUCCAAAGAUUUUGGAUUGCUUGUAUUUAUUCGGAAAUCACUUAGCAUUGAUGAAGUAAGUGCAAAAUUUUCCAUUUUGUUUCUUGUAUAUUCCUUUAUAUUGGAGUGGUUCUUAUUCUUACCCAUGUUUACUGUAUUUAUUUCUUUUAUUAUAGUUUCGUGAUUGUAGAGAAGAAGCCCUGAAAUUUCUAUGUAUUUUCUUAGAAAAAAUUGGCCAGAAGAUCAUGCCUUAUUCUCUUGAUAUUAAGGUAAAGUGAAAAAAAGCAUACUUCAUCAUAUUUUAGCUUAUGAUGCAAGGAACUUAGAUUUUUAUUUUAUUUAUACCAUUCUUGUUGGGAGGUUUACUUAUUUCUCCUUGG